rnacentral:lncRNA from 1 species
GUGAGCGCCGCUGUCCCGGGGACCGCGGAUUGGAAGCAGGAAGUCACUGGCCGCGGACAGAAUCUCUCUCUCCUUCCAUCUCAGAGUGAAGAUAACCCAUUUUGGCUGCCGGAAUGACUCACCCGAAAGAUAUUCAUCAAGGAUGGUGUGGAAGAUGCUGACCUCCCGAGGACUGUUCCUGAUCCUGACAAUGCUGAACUUGUCUCAGGAAAUUGGUCCGAGGGGUUCGAUGAGACUCUCGAGGCCCUGAGAGCAGCCGUUCUAAAGAUCAACUCGACACCAGUGGACCUGUCAUUGACAGAGGGUCUCUCCUCCUGGAUUUCAUCUGCAUUUUCUUAUUUUAAGGAAUGGGUGGGGGUAGUUUUAUUUGCUGCUGCCAUCUGCUGUGGACUUGUGUUCAUGCUCUGAUUGGUUUGUAAGCUCAGAACCCAACAAAACCGUGACAAGGUCGUUAUUACUCAGGCACUUGCAGCCAUUGAACAAGGGGCUUCCCCUGAAAUUUGGCUUAAGACUUAAAUGCUUAAGACUUAAAUGGCAUCUGAGUUCUCUGCUAUUGCGUCCCACGGAUUUGUGGAUCCAUUGCACUGGGAUGAGAGGGACUCAACGCUCAUUGAUCAGCACUUGCACUUCGCUGAGUUUUACUAAUUCAUUUUUCGGCUGGCCUCUUUUAUAGAGUUCACCCUAGGUCAUUUGGCAGUUACUGUCACACAGUACUGCGGUAUCCAGAGAGGGGCAACUUUCCUCAUGUACAGACCAACCUAAGACACGUGACCCGGUGGCGAUAGGGUUACCCUAUGACAGGAAAGGCUGUGACAUUGGAGGAAUGACCUAAGACAGGAGCCACCGCAGAUGGACAUGACUGCAGAGGCCUAUACCAGCCUCAAAUUUUAAUAAAAUUAAAAGGGGGAGAUGUGGAGAGCCGUGCCGUGAGCAAUCGCCAUUAUAAGAUGGCGCUGGCUUCCACUGCGCCUAACUAGUAAAGCGCCUAACUAGUAAAAUGCGCAAGUGCAAGAGUGAAUUCACGCCCAGUCACUGCCCAUCUCGGGGCAUAGUAAUGGGGUGAUGGGUGAGCAACUAAUCAGGUGCUGUCACGCCACAUCAGGUGCUGAAACGUCACACUGUGGGCUAUAUAAGCAGUGCCGUUUUCCGGGUUCGGGGUCUUCCUUAUGUUGAAGCAAUAAAAGCUUUGCCAU